CAGCACCUUAGAAUGCUUGAUUUAAGUUGCAAAUGAGGCUUUUUGACAUCUCACAGCCAGGACAUGCACAGCCCCAUCGCAGAAUGCUACAGUCACUUACAGCAAGAUGGCUUCAAGGAGCUCAGGCUGACCAGAGGCAUUAGAAA